rnacentral:rRNA from 1 species
GAUGAACGCUAGCUACUGGCUUAACACAUGCAAGUCGAGGGGAAACGAUAUUGGAAGCUUGCUUCCGAUAGGCGUCGACCGGCGCACGGGUGAGUGACGCGUAUCCAACCUGCCCAUCACUUGGGGAUAACCUUGCGAAAGUAAGACUAAUACCCAAUGACGUCUCUAGAAGACAUCUGAAAGAGAUUAAAGAUUUAUCGGUGAUGGAUGGGGAUGCGUCUGAUUAGCUUGUUGGCGGGGUAACGGCCCACCAAGGCGACGAUCAGUAGGGGUUCUGAGAGGAAGGUCCCCCACAUUGGAACUGAGACACGGGCCAAACUCCUACGGGAGGCAGCAGUGAGGAAUAUUGGUCAAUGGGCGAGAGCCUGAACCAGCCAAGUAGUGUGCAGGAUGACGGCCCUAUGGGUUGUAAACUGCUUUUAUAAGGGAAUAAAGUGGGAGUCGUGACUCCUUUUGCAUGUACCUUAUGAAUAAGGACCGGCUAAUUCCGUGCCAGCCGCCGCCGUAA